rnacentral:rRNA from 1 species
UGGGGAAUUUUGGACAAUGGGGGAAACCCUGAUCCAGCCAUCCCGCGUGUGCGAUGAAGGCCUUCGGGUUGUAAAGCACUUUUGGCAGGAAAGAAACGUCAUGGGUUAAUACCCCGUGAAACUGACGGUACCUGCAGAAUAAGCACCGGCUAACUACGUGCCAGCAGCCGAGGUAAUACGUAGGGUGCAAGCGUUAAUCGGAAUUACUGGGCGUAAAGCGUGCGCAGGCGGUUCGGAAAGAAAGAUGUGAAAUCCCAGAGCUCAACUUUGGAACUGCAUUUUUAACUACCGGGCUAGAGUGUGUCAGAGGGGGGUGGAAUUCCGCGUGUAGCAGUGAAAUGCGUAAAUAUGCGGAUGAACACCGAUGGCGAAGGCAGCCUCCUGGGAUAACACUGACGCUCAUGCACGAAAGCGUGGGGAGCAAACAGG